UGAGGAAUAUUGGUCAAUGGGCGAGAGCCUGAACCAGCCAAGUCGCGUGAGGGAAGACGGUCCUACGGAUUGUAAACCUCUUUUGUCGGGGAACAAAAGGCGCCACGCGUGGUGUAUAGAGUGUACCCGAAGAAAAAGCAUCGGCUAACUCCGUGCCAGCAGCCGCGGUAAUACGGAGGAUGCGAGCGUUAUCCGGAUUUAUUGGGUUUAAAGGGAGCGUAGGCCGGAGGGUAAGCGUGUUGUGAAAUGCAGUUGCUCAACAUCUGCACUGCAGCGCGAAUUGUUCUCCUUGAGUGCGCAGGAAGUAGGCGGAAUUCGUCGUGUAGCGGUGAAAUGCUUAGAUAUGACGAAGAACUCCGAUUGGGAAGCCAGCUUACUGUAGCGCCACUGACGCUGAUGCUCGAAAGUGCGGGUAUCGAACAGGAUUAGAUACCCUGGUAGU
rnacentral:rRNA from 1 species